UUUAUAAGCUUUAUUUAAUUUCCUAGUUUAACCCUGAUUGUACAUGUAUAUAUUUCUAAAGAAGCAAUACAAAAAAAGAUUCCCGUAAAGUUCUAUUAACAUCACUAUCAAUCCAUAUUUAACAGCCCUGCAAUAAUGUUGGGGUGCACUGUAGUUGUAUCUCAGGCCAAUCAUACAUUGUCACAUAUACAUAAAUGGCUUGGGAUGCUUCCACAAUAGCAUCUCAUUAUAGGCAAGUUUUUAUCCUCUUAGUGAUCCCCAGUAAGUAGUGAUUGAUAGUAGGCUUCAUCUUGAUGAUGAGAUCACUGAAUCAGAAGAACAGUAAUUGCAGAAGCAAAGGACCAGCUUGAAUGGUAAUAUUAACUGAAACUGAAACUGAAACUUUGUUUCUGCAAUAGCACCGAGAAAGUAAACAUUUUAGUACGUAUAUAUGACUAUGCGACGUCAAACUAUCACCUGUUCUCCGAUCUAAGGCCAAGAAAAUGUCCAACGACUUGUAAGAAAACUCGAAAUUAGACUGUGCAAUGUCACUCGAGAAGAAAUUGCUACUAAUUCAACUCACUUUCUACCUCUAGUUUCUUCUGCUUGUGCAGAUACUUGUAAUGUUAAUGACAUUUUGUUUCGGCUAUGAAUCUGAAACGGAACUGCCUCCCUGUGUAGCCUCUUCAACGGUAUCAAUCCUUGAGAUGUCUGAACUUGUUUCCACCUUCGCUUUAAUGUCAAUGUUCGGGUCUUGUACAGAAAUUUUGCUUUUGGCUUCCAAAUCAGCACCAGUUGUUCCUUCUUUAGACCCAACUUCUUCAUUUACCAUGUUUUCGCUGAUUGCACUUUGAUUGUUAGAACUCGAAUUCAUUUCCUGAUGUCCGGUAAUUGCGUGAUCACCGCCUGUUCCAGUCACUAUGGAUUCUACGAGAUCAUGGCCAUCUACUGGCACGCCAUUCACAUCGUCAAAGCCAUGGACCAAUGUGUCUGCCACUGAAUUUUGGCCCUCAAGAGAGUCAUUCUUACUUUCAUCACAUGAAAUGUCCUUGUCAGUGGUACUAGAUUCCUCCGAUCUCUGUCUCCUUAGCUUGGCCCCCUUCCAUUUUCUUGCUGGUCGUGCUUAUUUUGUGGUAUUUGCUCCUUGUCCUCUCCCACUUCAUCAUGAUUCACAUGUUUCGCACCAUCUUGAUCAGCGAAAAUUGCCUGCGUACACCUUCAUGCCCCUCUUGGUAAUUUUCUUCAUGCGAACAAGUCUUGUCGAGCCCUACCAAUUCAUCAUUUCCUUUAACUUUACCAUCAGAAUUAUCAUCUGUAGAUUCUGUACUGUUCAAUUCUUUUUUCUGAUUUUCUGUUUCCUUUUCAACUUCAUUCGCUUCGUUUACAUUCUGCAACGAUUGUUCUUCAUUUUUCUCUUCUGCAUUUCCAUCUUCUUUCUUUACACUUACUUCUCCUACAUGUUUCAGAUCUUCUGAUGCAGACACAGCUCCACCUUUUGACCACCCUGCCCUCCCCUUACGCCCUAACCACGUUCUUCACUGGCCUUGUCCUUUGAACUUUCACCGUUGUCCUUGCCAUGUGACUGCUUCAUCUGGCAUAGCAACCAGAAGCAAACAGCCAAAAUCAAUGCAAUCUGAAUUGCCUGUUUCCUCCUGACAAUGUUCAUCGAUCUACUAACUAAACCAAAGUUAAUAAACAGAAAACAGAAAAACCAAAAUAACCCUCUGUUUGGUUUCCGAGAAAAUACAGGAAAAUGGACUAAAGUUUUAAUCUUUGAGUCAACUAAGUCCAAAUCCAAUUAAAGUCCAUAACUUUCAGGAAGCUUCCAAUAUUUCCAAAUCAAUUCACGUUCUUCUGUUAUUAUGACUUAUCUUGCCUCAGCAUUGCACGAAUUAAAGAGAAGCGAAGAAGCUCUAGUGAUGAUGGAGAAGGCUACUAUGGCGGAUAAGAAGAAUCCACUUCCAAGUUCCAAUGCAUCAUAAGGCUAGUAUACUAAUGAGUUACAGAAAAAUUGAUGCAGUUUUAGCGGUCUUGGAUGGCGUAACAUGCAUGAGAAAGCAGUGCUUCAUUUCGGAUUUGAAAUCAUCCGCAACUGAUGUCGCUACCAUUAAGGCUGACAUUGAGAAGUUACAUGUACCUGAUGAACUAGACGAUGAGUAGAUCCAUCAUGUCGGAAGUCAGUUAAAGAGAACAUCGUGCAAGUUAUCCGGCUGAACAAGACUCUGCCCGGAUUAGCGGUCUGCUUGUGCUUUCGAAGGCGUAUGAAUGGCCUAGUUCGUGAGGCUCGCCUGCUCAUUCGGGCAUCCGCAUCCGGUCUGCAUACUGUAGAACCUGACCUCAGUUUUGUAGGUGAUUCACGUACUGGUAGAGAACUAGAGGUGACACAAGUACUGAUAAGUGAUAAGUAAUAGCUGCUGCACUUGUACGGAUAGUUGUAUCAGGAUGUUGAAAAACUACUUGUAUCAUCGUCUUUAACCCUAACAUUUAUGAUUGUAAUCUGCCUUGCUCUUUCAUCAAGUCUGAAUCGUGGAAUUUACCCGGAUUCAAAACUAGGGUUCUUUUGUUUAUUUCAGGGACACCUUGUGGUGUUCACUCUGUAACUUUUUUCAACGAGUCUGAAGUGUCAACCACCGCUCUCUAUAUGCAUAUAAUUGCUAAAAUAUGAGCUUAUGGUCAUGAGAUCUUGGUGAGAUAAAGGAGAGUUUAAUAAGACGAGA